AUGACAGCUGAGGGUUAUUCUAUUCAUGUGAAAGGGCUAUCACCCAACACUACACCUUCCCUCCUGGAGAGUGUGUUCAAGAAGUUUGGACCUAUUAAGAAUGGUGGUAUCCAAGUUAGAUCACAAAAGGGAUUUUGCUUUGGCUUUGGGGAGUUUGAAGUAGCAAGUGCUGCCCAAAGUGCACUUGAGGUAAAAAAAAAAAA